GGCCCAAUGGUCUAGACGUAUGAUACACGCUUCGGGUUCUCCCGGGAUUAUAUGAUCCUUUGUAUGUGUGUGGUCCCGGGUUCAAUUCCCGGUUGGGCCC